rnacentral:tRNA from 1 species
UCCCUGGUCUCUCAAUGGUAAAGAAUCCACCUGCCAAUGCAGGAGAUACAGGUUCAAUCCCUGUCUUGGGAA